GGUUCGGUGGUGGGAGGUUUCCACAUCUGCAUUUCUUUCGGGAUCAUAGUCUAAGUUAUGUAGAAAGCAGAAGAUGCCUGUUCGAAUCGGGCCCGGGCCA